rnacentral:rRNA from 1 species
CCUACGGUGAGCAGCAGUGAGGAAUAUUGGUCAAUGGUCGGGAGACUGAACCAGCCAAGCCGCGUGAGGGAGGAAGGUACAGAGUAUCGUAAACCUCUUUUGUCAGGGAACAAAGACUGGGACGCGUCCCCGGAUGAGUGUACCUGAAGAAAAAGCAUCGGCUAACUCCGUGCCAGCAGCCGCGGUAAUACGGAGGAUGCGAGCGUUAUCCGGAUUUAUUGGGUUUAAAGGGUGCGCAGGCGGUCUGGUAAGUCAGCGGUCAAAGCCCGGGGCUCAACCCCGGACCGCCGUUGAAACUGGCAGUAUCGAGUUGGAGAGAAGUAUGCGGAAGGCGCGGUGUAGAGGUGAAAUGCAUAGAUAUCGCGCAGAACUCCGAUUGCGAAGGCAGCAUGCCGGCUCCACACUGACGCUGAGGCACGAAAGCGUGGGUAUCGAACAGGAUUAGAUACCCGGGUAGUC